CGGCUUACCAAGGCGAUGAUGCAUAGCCGAGUUGAGAGACUGAUCGGCCACAUUGGGACUGAGACACGGCCCAAACUCCUACGGGAGGCAGCAGUAGGGAAUCUUCCACAAUGGACGCAAGUCUGAUGGAGCAACGCCGCGUGAGUGAAGAAGGUUUUCGGAUCGUAAAGCUCUGUUGUUGGUGAAGAAGGAUAGAGGUAGUAACUGGCCUUUAUUUGACGGUAAUCAACCAGAAAGUCACGGCUAACUACGUGCCAGCAGCCGCGGUAAAAUC
rnacentral:rRNA from 1 species